UCAUUUUUGAUCUUUAGUGUAAUGCUUUGAUUGGUGCUUGUUGUUUAAUUUUAUUCAUUGCAUUACAUGCUUGAAUGAUUUUUGGUGCAUUGAAUUUCUGUUUAUUUAAAAAUCAUUUUGAGGAAGAAGUGUUUGGUUAUUUUAAAAUCUUUGAGAAAGGAGAUAAUUAAAAAUCUUUUUUUUUGGAGAGAAAGUUUUUAAAGAUUGUUUAAACGGGUUUUAUCUUCACAAUCAUAUUAAGUUAAAUUCAUAUUAAUUAUCGUCUUUACUCCACUAUUUAUUAUUUUGACGAUAAUUUAUUAUAUGAUUUCUUAUUGCAUAAAUUCAUCAAAAUUUUGAAAUCAAAUUUGAUUUUUUGGUGAUUAAUUCAUCUUGGUUGUGAGUGUUGGAUAUGAUGAAUGGAUAUUCUCUAAUUGACUAAAAUUCGUCAAAAUUAUUUUCAACUGUGAGAUUGUCUAAUUUAGGGGGAGUUUGAAAUUGUUUAAAAAAAAAAAAAAGGAGAAAAAGAAACUCCUAUGUUUAAAAGAUGUGGAAAGAGUUACAUCCAAAAGGAGUGUGAAAACUACCACCACAUGUAGGAAAGAGCUACCACCCCGGUCGUCCGGCAAGUGUGUGAAGCUACCACAUGGAAUUUAAUUGAAAAAGCCGAAAAAGGUUGGAAAAAUAUAAAUAUUUUAGAAUUUUCGGAGUAAUAAGGUGCUAGUUUGAAAAAGAUGCUCAAAGAGCCACCCCCGGUACCAUAUUAGUUAAAUCUCUAUUUUGAAUGUGUUGCGACAAAUUGGUGUCAAUUUUGUUGAAUUUCUAAAAAUCAUUUUUCAUCAACUUACAUCUUGAUGGUUUUGAAUCAUUAAAUUAUUUUUGAUUUUGAAAUUUUGAUGUUUCGAUGUGUUUUGAAAUUUUAUAAUAUCUUAUUUUCAUUAUAAUGAUUUUUGGAGUAAAAGCCUUAAUUAUAUGGAUUUAAUUUAAAUUUGAUGGGUUUUUAAAGGAUAUUUUUCGAAAAUUUUUUUCACAUUUUGGUCCUUGUACCGGUACAAGAGACUGUAUUCCGGUACAAGGUCUGCGACUGAGCGGCUUAUAACCCGGUAUAACGCUUCGAUCUCUCUCAAAUCUCAACCUUUUUCGAAAAUUUUUGUUCCUGAGAACUCCAGCAACUCUUCUUCAACCGUUCUACACGUUUUCCUCUUGGAUUUGUAAGUGGUUUGCAUCAAUUUGUGAGUUUUUAUCCCGAUUUUGCUAUUUUCACUGUUUUUACGGGAUAAGGGUUUGAUCUCUGUUCUAAUCCAUUUUUGAUGCAAUUUUUUGCUAUAGAUCAGUGUCUUAGGCUAUUAACUUGCUUGUACAACACUUGAACAACAUCAAAACAAGUUAUUUUUCGCUGAUCUAAGAUUUAUGCUUUAAUAUGCAUGUAAUUUCGAAAUUUUUCAAAAAGUUUGAUUUUUGCUGAAAUUUUUUGCAUGAUC
rnacentral:lncRNA from 1 species